GCUGAAGCCUAGUGGUAUCCUGAGUAACGCGGAACACGAGGAAUUCUGCGCGAAUCCGCCGGGACCAUCCGGUAAGGCUAAAUACUCCCGUGAGACCGAUAGCGAACCAGUACUGUGAAGGAAAGGUGAAAAGAACCCCGAGCAGGGGAGUGAAAGAGAUCCUGAAACCUUGCGCCUACAAGCGGUCGGAGCUGCCUAUGGCAGUGACGGCGUGCCUUUUGCAUAAUGAACCUACGAGUUACCAUCUCUGGCGAGGUUAAGCGGGAUGACCCGCGCAACCGCAGUGAAAGCGAGCCUGAAGAGGGCGUUUAGUCAGAGGGGGUAGACGCGAAACCAAGUGAUCUACACUUGUCCAGGUUGAAGUCCCGGUAACACGGGAUGGAGGACCGAACCAAUAAGCGUUGAAAAGCUUCUGGAUGAGAUGAGUGUAGGAGUGAAAGGCCAAUCAAACUUGGAGAUAGCUCGUACUCCCCGAAAGGCAUUUAGGUGCCGCGUCGGAUGGUCACCGUGAGAGGUAGAGCGACCGAUAGGACAAGAGGGCUUCACCGCCUAUCGAGUCCUGACGAACUCCGAAUGCUCACGGUCUGCAGUCCGGCAGUAAGGGGGCGGGUGCUAAGGUCCGUCCCCGAGAGGAGAAGAAUCCAGACCGCCGUCUAAGGUCCCGGAAUUCUGUCUAAGUUAGUCUAACGAAGUGGGGUCUCAGUGACAGCCAGGAUGUUGGCUUGGAAGCAGCCAUUCAUUCAAAGAGUGCGUAACAGCUCACUGGUCGAGAGUCCCUGCAUGGAUAAUAAUCGGGUAUAAGGCAGAUACCGAAGUCGCGGGAUAGCAAUUUAUAAAAGUAUCGGUAGGGGAGCAUUCCAUAUCCGUCGAAUGGUGCGGGUAACCUAUCCUGGAGGAUAUGGAAAAGCAAAUGUAGGUAUAAGUAACGAUAAGGAGGGUAAGAUUCCCUCCCGCCGCAAGACUAAGGUUUCCCGGGCAAUGUCAAUCAUCCCGGGGUCAGUCGGGUCCUAAGUCUCAGCCGAACGGCGAGGGCGAUGGCAGACACGGUCAACAUUCCGUGACUACCUUGGGCAGCGAUGCGGAGACGGAGCAGUGAAACUUCCGCGAACCGACGGAAUGGUUCGUUAAAGAGUGUAGGUGU
rnacentral:rRNA from 1 species